rnacentral:sRNA from 1 species
CUCUCUCUCUCUCUCUCUCUCUCUCUCUCUCUCUCUCUCUCUCUUUCUCUCUGUGGGGCAUGGGGGUGGGGUUGCAGGCUGUCUUUGUUUACCCAGGACAGUCAUGAAUCAUAUUCUGUAGAGCAGGCUGACCUUGAACUCAUAGAGAUCCACCUGCAUCUGCUUUCCUAAUGCUGGAGAUUGAAACCGUGUGCCCACACCACCCAGACUCAUGACCAUUCUUCUAAGACAGCUUGUAUGAAUUACUUUUUGCAUUCAAAAGAAUGACCUUCCAUGCUGGGAAAUGAUAAGCGAUGGCUCAGUGGUUAAAACUGAUUGCCCUGCAAGCAGAACAUGAGUUCAGAACCUAGCAACCAUGGAAAGAGGUGGCCAUGGUCUUCUCACUUCUCAUUACCCCAGCCCUGUUAGGGUACCUCAUAAACUAGAGGCCUGCUGGCUGACAGCCUGGCUAGAGACAAAGAGUUAGGGUCAGGUAAGAUGCUCUAUACCUUAGAAGUAUGGUUAGCUAUUCAUUGAGCAUUAUUAGGUUUACUAUUUAUUUAUGCUUCAACUCAGUGUCUGGGAAUGGACACUGCUAUUUUGGGCCUUUCUUAAUUAUCAUUAGCAUGUCUCCAUGUCUGCAGGUACAAGUGUGGUUAUCGGAGAGCAACUCUUGGUAUUGUUUCUUUCGCCAACUGCAUUUACUGACUAAUGUCUACCCAUAAUGACAUCUUUCUCACGGCUUUGACGCUCAUCUGUCCUUGGAUGGGCCUGGCUUGCUUAUUAUACCCCAGGGAGAACAUCUCCAUCUACAUGGAUUUCUUAAAAAAAUUGGGCAUGUGGGGCUGUUCUUUUUUUAAGGUCCUAUUCCCCAUUUGAUUCUUGAUCUGUAAAUAAAAAAGCCAUGAGCCAAUUGCUGGUCUGAAGAUACACAUGGAACUUCUGGUUCCUAGGAGGAAAAGGGGACACCAGGAAGCAAAGAUGGAGUUCCCCAUGCUCUACAGCGUGUACCCAGGUAGCUGUGUGAGGGCUCAGGAGAAGCAGUGGGCUAGGUUCUCCUCUAGGUGGGAGGUCAGAAAUGUCUGGCAGGAACUAGAUUCAAUUGACCGACUCAGUUAGGGAAGGAGGAGAGCUCAAAGCACUGAUAAGAGUGAAUUUUCCAGAUGGGAGUUAGUGGUGCCCAGAAAUUCUGCAAGAAGACAAGGUGCAAAUGAUCCGCUCUGUGUGUUUGUCUUCUAUUGUGGGAUUCAAGGGAAGCUGGGUGGAGGCUGGUAUCAUGGCCCAUUCCCAGAGCAAAGGUGGGUAGAGCAAAAUUGCACAAAACAUAUGGUCAUUCUCCGUGAGAGGUGUCUUUCACAUUCAUUCACCCCUGAAGUAGUUCCUAAAGAAAACGUCUGGGCCAUGCUGAGGUCUGUGGUCCCCGCUGAUGCUGAAGGCCAUGUGGAUGUCCGGGAUCCAUGUUGCAACUGACUGUAAAAGAAGCCAAAUGAAGCAGCAAGGAGGACUUCUCUCAGUACUCCUGAAAAGAACGAGAUACAGAGCCACAAACCGGAAUGGAGACAGUCUGAGGCAGACAGGCAAUGGGGGGAAGAGAUCUUGAGCAUGCAUGGUGAGAAGACAGUCAACCUGGGAACACCAUCUAUGAAAGGAGGGGGAACUCGGAAAUCCCAGCAAAUGGGAGGCAGAGGCAACAGGGUUCACAAGUUUAAAGUCAGUCUGCAGACAGAGCUUCAGGUCAAGACACCAACACAAUGACAGCUUGUCUCCAAAAAGCAAAACAAACAAACAACCGAAAAAUGAAAAAAUAAAAAUAAAAAAACCACGGAAAAAAAUAGAGUGAGAAGUCAUUUUAGAGGUGAGACACUUAUACAUCACAGACCGUCAGGAAAAUCCAAAGAACUCGAGUGUCCUCCCAAGCAUUGUAACAAAAUAAGAUGGCUGGGUGACUUGAAUAUCUGAAUUUUGAUUUCUCAGAGUUCUGCAGGCAGGACUCAGAGACAAGGUGCUGAAGUGAGCCUUGGCCUUUCUUGGGCGCUCUGUGCAGACGCCUACAUCCUCCCUGUGGGUUCUUAGCCUCCCUACCCUACACUACACACACACUC